AUUAACCUAUUAGCUCAACUUAUUAUUUAUCUUACUAUUUUCACAGGAACUCUUAUCACAAUGCUAGGCUCACACUGAUUUCUCAUCUGAACAGGCCUAGAAAUAAACAUAUUAGAUUUCACCCCAAUCUUAAUUUUAAAAAAAUCCCCACUCUACAGAAGCAGCCACUAAAUAUUUCCUUAUACAAGCAACCACAACUGUAAUCCUUAUAAUAGGCAUCAUUUCCAAUAGCCUGUUCUCUGGGCAAUGAACAAUAAUACUAUUAAUUAAUUUUCAUCCUUUUUAAUAAUAACGGUCCUAGAAAUAAAAUUAGGAAUAGCCCCCUUCCACUUCUGGGUCCCAGAAGUAACCCAAGGAACUUUCCUAAUAUCUGAUAUAUUUCUUCUCACGUGACAAAAACUAGCCCCUAUCUCGAUUAUGUUUCAAGUUUUCCUGUUAAUAAAUACAAAUAUCCCCCUAUUUACCACAAUCCUGUCCAUUAUAGUGGGUGGUUAAGCAGGAACUCAAUCAAACACAACUGCAUAAAAUCCUAGCCUACUCCUCAACUACUCACAUAGGUUGGAUAAUAGCAGUAUUAACUUGUGACCCAAACAUUACCAUUUUGAACCUAUUUAUCUCAUUUUAACAACUACUACAUUUCUAGCACUCAUCCUGAAUAUAAGCACUAUGACCCUAUCACUAUCUCACACCUGAAACAAAUUGACAUUAAUACCUAUAAUUCCAUUAAUUCUAUUAUCUCUAGGAGGUUUACCCCCAUUAACAGGAUUUCUACCUAAAUGAAUUAUCAUUCAAGAGUUUACAAAAAACAAUAGCCUCAUUACCCCCACCAUCACAGCCAUCAUAACUGAACUUGUAUUUCUAUAUACGCCUAAUUUAUUCCAUCUCAGUAACAGUAAUCUCCAUAUCUAAUAAUAUGAAAAUAAAAUGACAAUUCGAAAAUACAAAACAUAUACCAUUUCUCCCCUCAUUAAUUAUUUCUUCCACCCUCCUCUUACCUAUCUCUCCAAUAAUA
rnacentral:lncRNA from 1 species